CUGCGCUGUGCUGGAGGAGAGGCAGGCACACUGCACAGUACUGAGCUCUUGCAGCGUAAGCCAACAAAAUAUGAACACGUUAGCACCAAGAGGCAGUAGUCAUCAGCUCCAGUAGCUGGCUGGCUAAUCAGAGGUGGCCUGCACUUAGGCUGUCAAAAAAUGCCGUGAUGUUCAGGGAGAGAGCAGUUCGAAGAGCUUCCUAAAAUUACAUACAACAUGUGCUAAAGGUC